UCUGAAACAGAGUCUCCUGCAAUCAACAUAAAUCAAAACGUGCAGAGCCCCAAAAAAGGCUGAAAGGAAGACUCCGAACUCCUUCAACGAGCACCACAUUGUUUACCACCGCACAUUGAAAGAAACCAGUCAGGGGAAGGAGGUAGUGUAAACACCCGAGCCGAAGCACUACACACCUUCUUUAAGAACAGUGAAAAAUCGCGUUUUAACUGCAAGAAAUCGCAAUGAUGAAAAGCAGGUAACAAACAAGAUUGCGAGAUCGAUGUAGGAUGGAGUUGAUUGCUAAGGAAAGGGAGUGGAUUGGAGGUGGAAGGAAG
rnacentral:lncRNA from 1 species